CCCUUAGAUGUUCUGGGCCGCACGCGCGCUACACUGACGAAUGCAACGAGCUUAUAACCUUGGCCGAAAGGUCUGGGUAAUCUCCAAAUUUCGUCGUGAAGGGGAUAGAUUAUUGCAAUUAUUAAUCUUCAACGAGGAAUGCCUAGUAAGCGCAAGUCAUCAGCUUGCGUUGAUUACGUCCCUGCCCUUUGUACACACCGCCCGUCGCUCCUACCGAUUGAAUGGUCCGGUGAAGCGUUCGGACCGUGGCCUUUGGACGGUUCGCCGUCUGUUGGCUGCGGGAAGUUCGUUAAACCUUAUCAUUUAGAGGAAGGAGAANUCGUAACA
rnacentral:rRNA from 1 species